rnacentral:lncRNA from 1 species
GAAAGGACUCGCCUAGGGAGCCAGCGCGGUCCCAAAGGAGCCGCCGGCCCUGCCUCCCGGGAUCCGACCCCCGGUGCAGCCAGCCUGAAGUCGCCCGAGGGCAGGGCCGACCUCACCGAGCCGGGAAUGGCGUCUCAGGGGCAAGUGAGAACUGGCCUGAGAAGGGGACGGUAGGGGCAGAAGACGCCAGGCUGCCUCUUGGACCAGCAGCGCCGGCCCAGAGCCACACGACUCUCUGUGGCACUGGCGACAAAGCGGGGAAAGUUUCUGGCUAAGACUUUCACGGAGAGGCAGUUCGCUGGCGUUUAGUGUGGGGGCUCCCCGGGGAAGCCGGUCUUUGGAAAGUGGAGGGUGGAGGUGUGGCGUUCUCGGGGUCCCCGCCGAGUCGUGCCACCACCCCGUCCCGCUCCCCGAGCACUGCCAGCAGCCCCAGGCGAGCCGGGGCUCUCCGUGGGGCAGGGCACGCUUCUGCCCCCACUCCACUCCACAGUGAGAGCCCACGUCCGUGGGUGCAACGAGCUGCAGGAGCACCGGACACACGGCCAAGAUGUGUUUUUGGGAGGGCAGAGCGGUUUUCAUUGCGGCAUUCUUCGUUUCCUUUCAUCCUGGAGAGAGGAGAGGGCGGGCGCCUUCCCACGCCCUGGGCGCACAGGCAGAUCACUUACCUCCCCGCAUGGCCGCGCCGGGAGGUUUGCCCCGCGCGGAGCUCGGCGGCCGCCACGCGCAAAGCCCCGGUGCAGCCGGCCGGACGCGCGCGGCACGCCGGGAGUUGUAGUCCAGCGCCGAUGUGCCAUUCUCUGCUUGGAUGCACACAGAAUAUUCUUGCUCACAGAAUAACUCAGUUGAAGCCCUGAGCAUGUAAAAGGAGGGUGAGUAGUUAGUUGCACCUUACACAUGCAGGGUGCUUUAUAGCUCUCUUUACAAAGCACUUUGUACUUGAUUGAUUCAUUAUAUAAGAACCGUAAAGCAACUCUGAGAGUUAGUCAGAGAAAAGCUAAAGAUGCAGGGAGUUUUUUGUUUGUUUGUUUGUUUGUUUGUUUUUUGAGACGGGGUCUUGCUCUGUCGCCCAGGCUGGAGUGCAGUAGCGCGAUCUCGGCUCAAUGCAGGGAUUUUUGUGUAUCUGCAUCUGCAGAGGUUGUUGGAGCCAUCCUGUCUAUUCGUUUCUUUCUCCAGCCUCUCUUAGCAGCUGGGAAGAGAGAGUGGAGAGAAAGAGGGAUCAGGACAGAUGUGGACACGGCAGAAGAAGAGGAGCCUGCUGUGACGGACUUCCUUGAAAUGACAAACAAGUAAAUAUUUAAGGGAAUAAGUAAAACCAAAAGAAGGACUCAUGGGUUGGAAGAAUGGAAGGAGAAGGAAAAGGCAGAUGGGAUAGGGAUAGACAUUGAAGAUUGCAAACAGGCUAGUAGCAAAGAAAGCAAAAACAAACAGGGUUUUUAGAAGCCAGAUAAACCUUGGAUUCCUGGUGUUGUCACUUCUGAGCUAUCUCUGUUACCUUAGGUAAGUUCUUUAACCUCCCCAAACCUCUUUUGCCUCAUCUGUAAAAUUAAAAAAAAAAAAGUUCUGACUUUAUCAUGUGGCUGUGCCUAUUAAAAAGAGACAGGAAGCACAUAGUAUAGUGCUGGGCAUAUGCUAGGCAAUUAAUGUUAUUUACUAUUAUUAUCUGCAGAAAUUCUCUUUGUGUUAGUAUCAAAAAAUAAAUUGGAGUGGAAGUACCAGUUAGGAGGCUGUGACAAUACUCUAAGCUACUGGCAAUGAUAGCUUGAACUACAUUGACAGAAAGGCAACUAUGUUGCCAUAUGAGAUAGGGAAAACAGAGUACAAUCAAUUGGAUGUGGGGAAGGAAGAAAAAGAAUCAAAUUGGUUGUUAUUUCUAGAUUAAGUAGAUGAUGUUGUCAUUUUCAUAAAUAGAUACAACUGAUGGAAAAACAGGUUUUGGAGGAAGAUGACCACUGGCUUUCCUCAUUUUAUUGUGCUUUGCUUUAUUGCAGUUCACAGACAAUGUGUUUUUGUUGUUGUUGUUGUUGUUUAUUUUACAAAUUGACAGUUUUUGGUAACCCUGUGUUGAACAAGUCUAUUAGUGCAAUUUUUCCAGCAGUAUGUGCUCACUUCAUGUCUCUGUGUCACAUUUUGGGCAUUCUCAUAAUAUUUGAAAGUUUUUCAUUUUUAUUGUAUCUGUUGUGGUGAUCUGUGAUCACUGAUCUUUGAUGUUACGAUUGUAAUUGUUUUAGGGUGCCACAGACCAUGCCCAUUAAUCUAUAAAUGUUGUGUGUGUUCUGACUGCUCCACUUACCAGCUGUUCCCCUCCUCUCUCCCUCUCCUGCUCCUCCCUAUUCCCUGAGACACAACAAUAUUGAAAUUCGGCCAAUUAAUAUCCUUACCAUGGCCUCUAAGUGUUCAAGUGAAAGGAAGAGUCAUACUUCUCUCACUUCAAAUCAAAAGCUAGAAAUGAUAAACUUAGUGAGGAAGGCAUGUCAGAAAUCCAGAUAAGCAAAAGUUAGACGUCCGGUGCCAAACAGUUAGCCAAAUUGUGAAUGCAAACAAAAAGUUCUUGAAGGAAAUUAAAAAUGCUGUUCUAACGCAUACCUGAAUGAUAAGAAAGUGAAACAGUCUUAUUCCUGAUAUGGAGAAAGUUUUAGCGGUCUGCAUAGAGGAUCAAACCAGCCCCAACAUUCCUUUAAGCCAAAGCCUAAUCCAGAGCAAGGCCCUAACUCAAGGGUGGAGAGGUAAGGAAACUGUAGAAAAGUUUGAAGCUAGCAGAGUUUGAUUUCUUAAACGAGGUUUAAGAAAAGAAGCAUAACAAUGAAGUACAAGGUGAAGAAGCAAGUGCUGAUGGAGAAGCUGUAACACGUUAUCCGGAAGAUCUAGCAAAGGUAGAUGGAGGUGGCUACAAUAAUCAGCAGUUUAUCAAUGUAGACUUAAUAGCCUUCUAUUGGAAGAAGAUGCCAUGUAAGAUUUUUCUAGCCAGAGAAAAGUCAAAGCCUAACUUCAAAGCUUCAAAGGACAGGCUUAUUAGGGGCUAAUGCACCCAGUGAUCUUAAGUUGAAGCCAAUUUUCAUUUACCAUUAUGAAAAUUCUAGGGCCCUCAAGAAUUAUGCUAAAUUGACUUUACUUGUGCUUUAUAGAUGAGACAAAAAGGCCUGGGUGACAGCAUAUCUGUUUACAACAUGAUUUUCUGAAAAUUUUAAGCCUACUGUUGAGAACUACUACUCACAAAAAAAGAUUCCUUUCAAAAUAUUAGUGCUCAUUGACAAUACACCUGUUCAGCCAAGAACUCUGAUGGAGAUGUACAAGAAGAUGAAUGUUGUUUUCAUGCCAGCUAGUAAAACAUCCAUUCUGUAGCCCAUGGAUCAAGCAGCAAAUCUGACUCUCAAUUCUUAUUAUUUAAGAAAUCCUUUUUAUAAGUCUAUAGCAUCCAUAGAUAAUGAUUCCUCUGAUGGAGCUGGGCAUCAUAAUUGAAAGCCUUCUGGAAAGGAUUCAUCAUCUUAUAUGCCAUUAAGAACGUUCAUAAUUCAUGAGAGGAGGUCAAAAUAUAACAUUAACAUGAGUUUGGAAGAAGCUGAUUCCAAGCCUCAUGGAUAACUUUGAGGGGUUCAAGACUUCAGUGGAUGAAGUCCCUGCAGAUGUGAUAGAAAUAGCAAGAGAAAUAGAAUUGGAAGUGGUGCAUGAAGAUAUGACUGAAUUGCUGCAAUCUCAUGAUCAAACUUGAAUGGAUGAGGAGGUGCUUCUUAUGAUUGAGCAAAUAAAGUGGUUUCUUGAGAUGGAAACUAUUCCUGGUGAAUAUGCUAUGAACAUUGUUCAAGUGACAACAGAGAAUUUAGAAUAUUUCAUAAACAUAGCUGAUAAAGCAGCAUCAGGGUUUUAGAGGAUUGACUGCAAUUCUGAAAGAAGUUUUACUGUGGUUAAAAUGCUGUUCAGUAGCAUCACAUGCUACAGGGAAAUCUUUCAUUAAGGGAAGAGUCAAUUGAUGUGGCAAACUUUACUGUUAUCUUAAGAAAUUGCCACAGCCACGCCAACCAUCAGCAACCGACUACCCUAAUGAGUUACCAGCCAUCAACAUUGAAGCAAGACCCUCCACCAGCAAACAGAUUACAACUUGCUAAAGGCUUUAAGAUCGUUAGCAUUUUUUAAGCAAUAAAGUAUUUUUAAAUUAAGAUAUGCACUUUUUAAAAGAUAUAAUGCCAUUGCAUACUGAAUAUACUACAAUAUAGUGUAAACAUUUAUAUGCACUGGGAAACAAAAAAAUGUGUGUGACUUGCUUUAUUGCAGUGGUCUAGAACUGAGCCCACAAUGUUCCCGAGGGGCCUGCAGUUUGAUUUUGGACAUGCAUAACUUAAGGGUUUAUCUGUGUGAAUGACCAAGUGGAAGUUGGAAAUGUGGAUUUGGAUUUUUCAUGUAGAAAUGGGACUUUGAGAGUCAAUUACUUAGGAGAGGAAGUUGAAGAGCAUGUGAAGAGGAAAAAGGGAGGACAGCAGGCAUGGGCAUGGGGAGGUGGGAAGUCAGAUAAUAAUACCAGGCAGGAAUUGGUUAAGGAGGAAAGGAAAGCUGCAGGGGUGUAGUAACAUGGGGUGCAAGGGAGGAUGGAGAGAUGAGGAGCAGCUUCUUAACAGGUCAUAUGCUCUAGAGAGGUAGCCAAUGACAACAGAAAAGAGGCCUCUGGAUUUAUAGAUCAAGAAACUAUUGGGAUUGAACUGCUUCCAGGGUUUUUUUUUUGAAAUUUACCAGAGUGAUUUUGCUUGUCCCAGUGAUUGGGGAGUGUAUUAGUGCGUUUUCACACUGCUAUAAAGAAAUACCCAAGACUGAGUAAUUUAUAAAAAGGUUUAAUCGACUCACAGUUCCACAUGGCUGGGGAGGCCUCAGGAAACUUACAAUCAUGGAGGUAGGGGAAGCAGGCACUCUCUUCACAACAUGGCAGGAAAGAGAGAAGUGCUGUGAAGGAGGAACUUCCAAAGUUAUAAAACCAUAAGAUCUCAUGAGAACUCACUCACUAUCAUGAGAAGAGCCUGGGGGAAACUGCCUGCAUGAUCCAAUCACCUGCCUCCCUUGACACAUGGAGAUUACAAUUUGAGAUGAGAUUUGGUUGGAGACACAGAGCCAAACCAUAUGAGGGAGUGGGGCACUACUGGAAUAUAGUUGGUGGGGUCAAAGAUUCUAGACAUCUUCCAUUGACCAGGACAGUCGCGCAGAGCGAAGAAUUGUCCUGCAUCCUGUGUGACUUAGUUGUCCCACUGCUCAGCUCAUUUAUGUAGGUGAAAAAUCUGUUUAUAAUUAUCUGAGCCUAGAAUCUAUUUUAUAUAUAAACAUAAAUUGUUUUCCACACAGUUUUAAGUUAUAUCAAAUUUUCCUGGAAUGUUGUAAAUUGGAUGGCAAUAUCAUUUAUGGAAUUUGAAUCACCAAUACAGUUCAUUUUGUGGCUGUCUCUUUCAUGGUGAUUCUGCAUAUGGAACAAGUAUCUGACUACUUUAUUGUGUCUUUUAGCUUAGGGAUGCUUGAGCAGUUGCAUGUUGGAUCAUGCAGUUUUAUUAUUAUUAUUAUUAUUUUUUUUUUUUUUGAGACGAAGUCUCACUCUUGUCAUCCAGGCUGGAGUGCAAUAACGCUAUCUCAGCUCACUGCAACCUCUGCCUCCUGAGUUCAGCAGUUCUCCUGCCUCAGCCUCCCGAGUAGCUGGGAUUAUGGGUGCCUGCCACCACGCCCACCUAAUUUUUGUAUUUUGAGUAGAGACGGGGUUUCACCAUGUUGGCCAGGCUGGUCUUGAACUCCUGACCUCAGGCAAAUCACCUGCCUUGGCCUCCCAAAGUGCUGGGAUUACAGGUGUGAGCCACCGCGCCUGGUGGAUCAUGCAAUAUUUUAUGGUAAAUUACUUUAUUUUGUACUUUAUAUUAUAGUUAAGGUAUUGCUUUAAUUUUAGAAAAUUACAUAGGUAGGUAGCUUAUGGCUUCUACUUCACAAUGGUAAAAAGCAUAUUGUUUCAUAUUUGUUAUGAAAAGGGAUCAUUAAGAUUGACAAGAUGGAGAGCUAUUUAUUCCUUCAGUCAAUAAACAUCUCUGGAGUCCCUACUCAUUCUGGGUACUUGAGAUACAUCAAUAUAUGAAACAGAAAAAGUUUAUUGCCCUUUUGGAGUUAAUAUUGUAAUGUGGGAGAGGCAGAUGAUAAAUAAUAAACAUAAACAAAAUAAGUAAAUUCUCUAUUAGAAAGUUAUAAAUGCUGUGAAAAAUAAAAGGAGGAUAAAGGCAGUUGGGAGUGCAGGAGAGGGUGUGGGUUGAAAUGUUAAAUAUAAUGAUCAGGGUAAACUUCAUUGAGAAGGUGAUAAUCAAGGAAAGAUCUGGAGUUGGUAAGAGAAUGGCCUUGUGGAUUUCUGAGAAAAGAAAUAGCAAGGAUGCCAGUGUGGUUGGAUAUGGGCAGGGGUCAAGUAGAAGGAGGACAGGAAAACCCCGGGGCUGGAAACAAAUAAUGUAGGGCUUGUGGGCAUUGCAAGAAAUUUCAGCUUUCACUCUGAAUGAAAUGGGCAGCUGUUGGAGAGUUCAGAGCGGAAGAGUGACAUGGUCAGGCAUAGGUUUAAAGGAUUAUUCUGGCUGCUCUAUCAAGGAUAAAUCUUAACAGGCAAUGGUGGAAGCAGACUAGGCAAGAUGCUAUUGUAGUAAUCCAGGCAAGAAAUAUUAGUGGCUUGAACUAGAGUGGUAGCAACGAAAAGUGAUGGUGUGGAUGUGGAAAAGAAAUCAAGAAUUCUAUAGGGCAUAUUGGAAGAGUUUCAGGGGUUUGGGAGGGACGGAAGAUGGAGAUACAUUAAAGUAUGUUCAGGGCCUUAUAGGAAUGGGACUUGGGGGAUGACCUAGUAGUCUAGGACUUCUUGUGGUGACUCACAUAAACAGGGAUAAAGGGUAUAAUGAAAUCAGUCCCAGAGAAGGCAAGAAAUAAAAUGGUGAAGAGGUUGUGAGUGUGGGGGGUAUUGAUGAAUGUUUGAGUUCCCUGACUCUGGAUGGAGCUGAGAAUCAGGUGGACUCUUGAUCCACGUUGAUGGAAUGUUGAAGGCCUGGGGAGAGGAGGACUCAGUUCCUAGGCCAACGCUUAUUCAUCACUCCUGUCAGGAGCAGGCUGACUUGUUCAGAGUGAGUAGUCCUCUCUACCUCUGCUCUUGACCUUUUUGAUGGACUUAGCCCUUUUGAUGCAGUUGAGGAUUGGGGCAAGCUGGUAAUUACUCUAAGCACAAAGGCCCAGAAACAAUGAUGAUUCAAUAAAGUAUAUUCUAGAACACAGACUGAGGUAGACUUAAAAUUCUGGAAAUGGAGAAAUUUUGAGAAAUUUGGCAAAUGGGGAAUUUUGGCAAAGAAGGGCAGGAGAAGGUUUGGUCCUUAAUGUGGAAGGAUGCUCUAAGAUUGGGGAUAGCAGACAACUGUGUUUGUACAGUGAAGUGAAGAAGCCACUAGAUGCAGAAAUGUGAAAAUUCAGAACAGAGGGUGUAACUGAUGUAAUAUUUUCCUAGAGAAGAAGGAACUAUUGAUUGUUGAUCUUUGGAAGAAAAGUGGCAUAGUUUCUUCCUAUAAGAAAAGAAAGAGGCCAGGCGCAGUGGCUCAUGCCUGUAAUCCCAGCACUUUAGGAGACUGAGGCAGGCAGAUCACUUGAGGCCAGGAGUUCGAGAACAGCCUGGCCAAUGUGGUGAAACCCUGUCUCUACUAAAAUACAAAAAUUAGCCGGGCGUGGUGGCAGGCACCUGUAAUCCCAGCUACUCAGGAGGCUGAGGCAGGAGAAUUACUUGAACCCAGGAGGUAGAGGUUACAGUGAGCUGGGAUCAUGCCAUUGCACUCCAGCCUGGGCGACAGAGCGAGACUCCAACUCAAAAAAAUAAAAAAAGAAAAGAAAGAAAGCAAAUGGAAUGAUUUAGUAAUAUUGAGGGAAAUUCUAAAGAGAAAAGGGGGUAUAACAUUAUUUAAAGAUUAUUUUUAUUUAUUGUGAAAAUACACUGUAUGAUAAAAAAAAUUAAAGCAAUCAGAAACUUAAAAUAGAAAGUGAAAAUUCCCAAUAAACCCAUUCCUAAAAUAAUCCCUGUUAAAUGAUAUAUAUUGUCUAAAUUUUUAUCCUGUGCUUGUGACUUCUUUUUGUAAAUGUUACAUGAGGUAUUAAUCCAUUCUUUCAUUGCUGUAAAGAAAUACCUGAGACUGAGUAAUUUAUAAAGGAAAGAGGUUUAAUUGGCCCAUGGUUCUGCAGGCUUUUUGGAAGCAAAGCAUGAUGCUGGCAUCUGCUUGGCUUCUGGGGAUGCCUCUGGAAGUAAAAUCACAGCAGAAGGCGAAGGAGCAGCAGGCACCUCACAUCGCCAGAGCAGAAGCAAGAGAGAGUGGGUGCCACACUUUUAAACAGCUAGAUCUCACCAGGACUCAUUCACUAUUGUGAGGACAGUACCAAGGGGAUGAUGUAAAACUAUUAAAGAGAAAUCCACUCCCAUGAUUCAAUCACCUAUCACCAGGCCCCACUUCCAACAUUGAGGAUUAUAAUUCAACAUGAGAUUUGGGCAGGGAAACACAUCCAAACCAUAUCGUGUGAGUACCUAAAAUAUGAGUAUUUUUUCUUUGCAGGCUCUCAGGUUAAAUAAUAAAUAAAAAUUUGUUGAGCUUCUAUUACAUAACAGAUAUUAUUGCAUCAAUCUUUUCGAUAAUUGUUAUUCACAUCUUCCAUAUAAUAUCUAAUUUUUCUUGAUUAUUCAAGAAUAAAAAGAAAUUUGUUAAAGCCUCCUAACAUUUAUCUUGUUGUUUUCUUAUUUCUUGAAGUUUUGCUUUAUGUAUUUUAAUGCUGUUAUUUGAUACAUAAGCAUUUAUACUAAUAAUUUAUUUAUUGUGAGCUGUGUCAUUUGCCAUUACAAAGUGACUUUCUUUGUUCCAUGUAUUAAAAAGCUUUGUUCCAAGCUUUUUAAUAGCUUAUUCUAUCCCACUUGAAAUUAUUUGAAUUAGAUAUGUUUAACCUUAUCUCGAUCAUGUGUUUAUUUUUUGAAUUCACAUUGUUCUUUUUUUCUCUUUGGCUUUACAAUCUGUACUUUCUUUGCUUUUGUUUUGUCUUGGUUUUAUUUUUAUCUUCCUCUAUAUUUUAGUAUCAAAGAUUAACAAAGCUGGACUCUAAAGUGGCAAGGACAGACUUUAAUCAGUAAGUAAUAGAGACAAUCUACAAUAGAGUAAUCAGAGAAUAGAGAUAAGCAUCCAGCAUGAACUGAACUCUGAUUUGUAUAGAGAUGACCAACUAAAAUAGGAGUAGGACGGGGGUGAAUGAGGGCUCAGGAGAGUCAGAGAAGUGAAACAUAACAAAGGGUUCACAUCACAAAGUGGUAACGCCAGCUGUUUCUGGUAGGUGAUAGUUACAAACACUAGGAUUCUAUCUUCCUACAGACUGGGAGACAGGGGCCCUAUUCUUCUUGAUUGUAUUUCAAAUAAAUGGCUUUUGGGUCCUUGAGAAAGACACCCCUGAGUUGUAGGAGAUACAUGUACAUCUCAAAGAGACAGAGGAAGGAGUCACAGUUGCAAGCCCUUUUUAGUAAAUGUUCUAAGAAAGGGUGGUCAGGGCAUACUGCCAGGUGUUGGCUCAAACAAAUAGUAAGUUAUUUGGCAUUCUUGAGCUUUCUUAGUGAGGCACUUUAAAAGGAGCUAAUGUCAACCUAGUGAUGUGGCCUUGAAAUGGUGGAGGAGAGAAAGUUCUUAAAAAAAAAAAAAAAAGAAAGUAUGUUAGUUUUUGUACAAGUCUUUAUAGGCCAAGACUGAUACCUUACCAAGAAGAGGGCUUAGAGGAGAAGAGCUAGUCUGGUCAAGGAAAAUAUUUGUCAUUAGUUAUUUAUUGCUGUGUAACAAACUACCCCAAAACUUAGCAGCUUCUAACAACACACACUUAUUAUCUCACACUUUCUGUGGGUCAGGAGUCCUGGUGUGGCUUAGUUGAAUCCUCUGCUUCAGGGUCUCUCACACGGCUGCAAUCAAGGUAAUGGACAGGGCUCUUCUCUCCUGAAGGCUAGAUUUGGGGAGGAUCUGCUUUCUUACCUAUAUGGUUGGAGGCAGGAUUUGGUUCCUUAUGGGCUGCUCAACUGAAGUCCUCAGUUUUUGUCACAUGGGCUUCUCCAUAGGGUAGCUCACAACAUGGCAGCUGGCUUUAUCAAAACAAGUGAUAUGUGGGGAAAAGUCAGAGUAAGAGUGUAAGCAAGACAGAAGUCCUAGCCUUCUAUAGCCCAACUUCAGAAGGGAAAUCCUAUCACUUUUGCCACAUUCUUUUUGGUAAGGGCAAGUCAUUAGGUCUAGACUAACACAAAGGCAUGAAUGCCAGGAAGUGGGGACAAUUGGGAGCUGUUUAAGAAGGCUACCUGCCACACUCUAGCAAUUGGGGAGUUGUAAAGUCUGUUUUAAAUAAUAUGCUUACAUUUUUAUUUUUCAAUUAACUUUAGAAAUGCAAUGAUGAUGAAAUGAUGAAAUCAGUCUACUUAACUUCUCUCUUUUCUCUUCCCACCUCUUAGUUUGGAAAGCAAAUAUGAUUCUUGUUCCAGUCUAUUGUCAUCAAAAUAUUAUGAUUUAUAUUAUGUAUUUUUUUAGUAUUAAAACAACUAUAUUUAAUUUUAUGACUUAAAAUGCCAAUUACUUAAAUAUGUGUAGUAGACUUAAAGCUCACGGCUUAACCUUUUGUACAUCAUGACUUUCUCAUUCAUGAAUUUUAUUUUAUGGUUACUUAUCUGUUUAUUGUCUUAAUUUUUUUUCCUGACAGAUUUUUCAGAGGUGCAUAAAUGCUAUUUUUCUUGAAUUCUUGCAUAUUUGAGAAUUUAUUUCUGUCAUGAUUACACAUGAAGGUGGUUAGACCAGAUAAGUAUCGGGGGAACCAGCCCCCAAUAUUUCAAUGUAGGUUCUUUUCUAUUUUCCCUAAGUGUCGGCCGGUCUAAGAAAUAAAGGGAAAGAGCACAAAAGAGAGAAAUUUUAAAGCUGGGUGUCCGGGGGUUACAUCACAGGUCAUCAGGUUCCGUGAUGCCCCCAAGCCAAAAAACCAGCAAGUUUUUAUUAUGGAUUUCAAAAGGGGAGCGGGGUACAAAUAGAGUAUGGGUCACAGAGAUCACAUGCUUCAAGGGCAAUAAAAUAUCACAAGGCAAAUGGGGGCAGAGUGAGAUCACAGGACCAGGGAGAAAUUAGAAUUGCUGAUGAAGUUUCAUGUCCCACUGGGCACGCAUUGUCAUUGAUAACAUCUUAUCAGGAGACAAGUUUUGAGAGCAGACAACUGGUCUGACUAAAAUUUACUAGGCAGGAAUUUCCUAAUCCUAAUAAGCCUGAGGGCACUGCAGGAGACCGGGGCUUAUUUCAUCCCUUAUCUACAACUGUAUAAGACAGACACUCCCAGAGUGGCCAUUUUAGAGACCUCCCCCUAGGAAUGCAUUCUCUUUCUCAGAGCUGUUCCUUGCUGAGAGAAAGAAUUCAGACAUAUUUCUCCUAUUCACUUUUGUAAGAAGAGAAAUAUGACUCUGUUCUGUCUGGCCCAGCAGGCAGUCAGGCCCAGUGGUUAUCUCCCUUGUUCCCUGAAAAUCGCAGCCAUGCUGGUCCUUUUGGAUGCCCAGAUUUCAUAUUGUUCAAACACACAUGCUCUACAAACAAUUUGUGCAGAUAACGCAAUCAUCACAGGAUCCUGAGGCGACAUACAUCCUCAGUUUACGAAGAUGACAGCAUUAAGAGAUUAAAAUAAAGACAGGCCUAGGAAAUUAUAAGAGUAUUGACUGGGGAAGUGAUAAAUGUCCAAGAAAUCUUCACAAUUUAUGUUCAGCGAUUGCAGUAAAGACAGGCAUAAGAAAUUAUAAAAGUAUUAAUUUGGAGAAUGAAUAAAUGUCCAUGAAAUCUUCACAGUUUAUGUUCUUCUGCCAUGGCUUCAGCUGGUCCCUUCAUUCAGGGUCCCUGACUUCCUGCAACAGAUAUGGAAUGUUUUUUCUUCCUAUGUUUGUUAGCCAUUGCUCCAUUUUCUUCUAACAUUUAACAUUGCUUAGAAUAUGCCUGAUUCCUUUGUUUAUGAAGAUGACCUUUUUCCUUCUGCCUAGAUGACUAUAGGAUUCUAUUUCUUUUAGUCCUUAAAGUUCUAGAAAGAAAGCUUUUAUUAAAUUUGAUUGGAAUAUGGUGAGCCUUUUCAAAAUUCAAUUUGAAAACUUACUUUAGUUCAUAACAUUCUUCUAUUGUGUAAUUUUUCAUUUCCAUUUGCUCAUUCACAUCUUCAAAGAUAAAAGUCACUCAUGUUUUAGUUCUCCAUUGUCCAUGGUCUACAACUUUCAUCUUCUUUCUGAUCACCUUCAUUCCAUGUCAUUUUCCACCAAAUUCCAUGUGAUUAUUUUCUUCAAUAGCUUCCUCUUCAUGUCCAAUUUUCUGCCGUUUAAAUUCUCUUCCUUGGUACUUUUAAUGUGAUUUUCAGUUAUUUAAUUUCUUCUCAUUUGAUUCCUCUGCUUUUCUAGAUUUCUCUUAUUUUUACUGUUGCAUGGGUUCUGUGAUUUUUUUUUUCUAGAUUAAAAAAAAAAACUACCUAAACUCUUUGAAGGAAGUCGAUGAGAUCUAGUUGAUUUGCUUAAGAAUAAAGGGAGUGAUUUUCCUGCUUUUCCCUCUGUUUACCUGAGUAGUGUUUGAAUCAUCCACUUAUA